GUGACAUACCUAUACGUUGCCUCGGCGGAUCAGCCCGCGCCCCGUAAAAAGGGACGGCCCGCCCGAGGACCCCUAAACUCUGUUUUUAGUGGAACUUCUGAGUAAAACAAACAAAUAAAUCAAAACUUUCAACAACGGAUCUCUUGGUUCUGGCAUCGAUGAAGAACGCAGCAAAAUGCGAUAAGUAAUGUGAAUUGCAGAAUUCAGUGAAUCAUCGAAUCUUUGAACGCACAUUGCGCCCGCCAGUAUUCUGGCGGGCAUGCCUGUUCGAGCGUCAUUUCAACCCUCAAGCUCAGCUUGGUGUUGGGACUCGCGGUAACCCGCGUUCCCCAAAUCGAUUGGCGGUCACGUCGAGCUUCCAUAGCGUAGUAAUCAUACACCUCGUUACUGGUAAUCGUCGCGGCCACGCCGUAAAACCCCAACUUCUGAAUGUUGACCUCGGAUCAGGUAGGAAUACCCGCUGAACUUAAGCAUAUCA
rnacentral:rRNA from 2 species